rnacentral:sRNA from 1 species
UGACAGCUGUCGGGGUGCAUCACACUUC